ensembl:lncRNA
UUUUUAUCGUUUCCAGAAUCUUCAGUAGCCUACUUGGAGACAAAUAGACCCAUGAUAACAGAGUAACAGAUUGCAGUCACAGAAAGAUAAACGUACAGUGAAUUGCCAUGUAAAGGUAUGUGCAAAAUUGAAAUGAUAAAUGUAUAAAGCCUAUACCUACUUUUACAAAGUUUCAUAUUUUGAAUUUAAUAAACCUCUUACUCAUUUUAAAAAGCAAAUAUUUUAGGCCAAAGCUGAAAUUAUAGGCAUAACUUAAUUCAUUUUAGGUUACUAUAGGAACUCUGCAACCUAUAGGCGACACUCUGUCCCGCGCGCACUCCGCAAACCAUGGAAAGCGAGCGCGCAAGAGAGAGAGAAGCGGAGAAAGGGAGCACGCGCGUGUGAUUGUGAUUGGUCGCCCGGCUGCCUGCUGCUGGAGUGACGUCACUGCAGGAGAGAACUGCCAGAAGAGGAUGCAUUUAGUCAGAAACUAGACUCUCUCAAGCUGGAGAGAGAGAACAUCUCAUCCACAGCGCGGGAGGGAAGGGAAUGAGACAAUCGCAUGCAGGUUUCAUAAAGUAAACGUUGCAUCUCUUCUCACGUCCAUGCAUGAACACUGUAAGCAUGCUUUUCAAGGGAGGAAUUCCCCAUCUUGGAAAUUAAACUGCCUGUUCCGUUCUCUUGAUGGCUGAGACGCAACGUUCGAUGGCUGAAUACGAGUACUGACUGCGAGUUCUGAAUGGAAACCGCAUCGCUGAAGAGAUGUAGGCAACUGGAGAGUUUGGCUUUUGACUAGAUGCUUCCGCGCUGCCCAGAGAUUUUAGCGUCAUGUUCUUCAACGCAAGACGCACGGGAACCUCUAUUCGUCCCCGACACACGGCCACUCGUAGCUUACUUUCUGACAGAGAGGAAUACGCACGUCAAUUGUUAAAACCUCUCAAACUGCUGUGUCUUUGUGAGAGACCAGAGGACUGGAGCUAAGGGGGAAAACGCCAUCUGGUAAGUGCAAUCAAAGCGUAUUAUAAUGCAACAUUAUAAUUAGAACAAUUAGUUGCCGAGUUAAUCUGAUUCAAACACACAGUAAAUCAUAAAGUAAAUGCUAAUGAUUUCAUGCAGUUGAAAGGAGCCAAAUGCAAAUAUUAAUUCCUAAACAAGACACUAUAUGCAUGACAUGAAUAUUUCAUCAGAAAAUCUAUAUAUUUGUUUCUCUUCCUUUCACGCCAUAUAUAUAUAUAUAUAUAUAUAUAUAUAUAUAUAUAUAUAUAUAUAUAUAUAUAUAUAUAUAUAUAUAUACAUAUACAUAUGCAUAGUCAUAAAAAAGCAUCUGUUUAUAGUUAUCUGACCUAGAUCUGUUAAAAUAUUUUCCUGUUUUUACAUAUUUGUGUAUUUAAAGACACUAAUAUAAGUUUAAUAUAAGUUCACAUUUGUACCAGACUCCAACAAUUUCUUUACAGUAAAGUGCAGAUCAUAAUCAAAAAGUUUUUCUUAAUCAUUCUAUAGAUGAAUGUUGUAUUAUGUGGCAUAUGUUUAUUUGUCAAUUCAAAUCAUAUCAGGCAGACAUUGUGCAAUUCACACAGUAUCAGCAAAUGAAUAAGAAAAGGGCUCACUAUGGCUGUUAAACAUAAAACAUAAUUAUCUCAUAAUUAUCUGUUAAACAUAAAACAGCAUAAUUGUCUCAAGAAAUAUCCCUCAAAGCAUUAGGCUUGACCUGUGUAAAAAGAACGAAAAUAAAUCUAAACCACAAUAUAUUUCAACAUGCCUAGGAAUCUGUGGUUAGUAUGACUGCAGGACAUUAGGCCAAAGGCUUCAAUGCGAUAAAUGAUCAGAGAGAGGAAAUUAUAUGUCCGUCUCCAUCUCGAUAAUGAUAAGAAUGUAUGGGCCACUAUCACAUUGCAUAUUACUUUAUGUAAAAUUAAUGUGAGCAAAGAAAUUCUGUCAUCAUUCAUUAACAAUGAUCUUUUCCAGCUAAACCGGUUACCUAGCACAAUUGAAUAACGGUUAUUCAAUGAAAUUAUGGGUGGACUGUAAUUGAUGUGGGCUGAUUCAGUAUACCUUCACAGUGACCAAUCGCACAGCUGGCUAUGAGAGCACAAAAGCCGGACGUUCAUGCCUUCGCAUGAUUCGUGUUGAGCUAAUGCACAACUAUUUACAUUACUAAUACCAGGUUUGUCUAAACAUGGUGAAGUUUUUAGCAUGACACGAACAAGAAAUUGUCGUCACCGAAUACCAUUUAUAUUAUCCAAAGAAAUAAUAUAUAGCAGUUGCCAUGACAUCUGCUUUGGCAGUGAUAAAAAGGGCUUUUUGUCCUUUAUUUUCUUGUUUCCCCUUAGCAACUGCCAGCCAUUUACACUGCCUUUUUGGAGCAAGAGGGAGAGAGGAAAAAAUGGUGCAAUUGUCCAAAUGAAAGAAAAGAAAAAUAAUAGUCAACCCUCAUCCUUCUUCUACCAGCUCCCCUCCCUUCUUCAUCAACGGAAGCAUUUAGUGCCAUCUGUGCCCCCGGAGAAAAGAGGAAAAAAGGAAAGGAGUGAGACUCUACAUCCCAAGUGCCAAUGGGGACAAAGAGGCUGCCAGUUGCCACGGACCACCAGAUGCAGGAAGACUGCAAGUCUGAAUGAGGGGUGUGCUUUCAGGAAGCCAUCUUGAUGGAGAAACUGGCUGCUGCUCCCUAAAAUGGCUGUGUUGGCAUGAGGCUCCUGGCGAUGAAACUCUGAAAAAUUCCCAUCAUUGUCAUCAGCUGCUGGAGAAACCGUGGCCAUGCUGCUAUGUUUGACUCAAAUGGUCAAUCACAUCACCUCAGGAAUCCAGCGUCCAGCAUUUCUUCCAGAUGGUUCGCUGUGAAAAUUUAACAAGCAGAUGAUUUCGAAUGUGCACUAAUUGUCUUAAAACCUUGCAGACAAUCAGUAAUACUGGAUGGGUGUGUGGAUUUGGGCUGUUCGCCCAGUUAAAUCUUAGAUGUUAGAAAAUGUGUUGUACAAUCUUAUCAGUGCUGUGUAAACUGAAGAGCAUAAUGUGCCUUAAUGUGUGAAAAGUUUACAAUGAAAGUAGUUGUUAUUGAAACAUGUCAGUGCAAUCCCGAUUUUAAAUAUUAGUAUUUUCAAUGACCUUUCAUGUUAGUCAUCCAUGUUUCAUGUUAUUAUAUUAUAAAAUGUGCCUGUUUCAGUUGAUUUACAGGAAAUUGGUUAAUCCAGAUAUUUUGUAUGGCUACUGUAUGUAUGGUUUAAUACAAGAAUUAUGCUCAGUUUCUCUCUGGAUUAUCAUUUGUCUGAUUAUGUGAUAUGUGAAACAAAUUUAUUAAGCUGCACAAAUAAACAACAUUAAAGCACUGAGUAAAUGAUUGUUGGAUUGCUGAAAAAGCCAUUUUAAGUUAUACUCUGUAUAGAAAUGUACUGUAAUGGGAGGUGGACAUCAACACAGCUUCACAUGUAGUGGCCACAGGCUAAUUUGUAACCACCUACUUGAAGACAGCUUGACAGCUCAUAGUUCUGGUGCUCCUGUCAGCACCUUGGACAGCACAUAAUAAGCAAGUGCAGAAAAUAACUAGCAGUGAAUCACCUCUCUUAUUCAUGCAGAAGUCACAAAAAAAAAUAAUAAUAAUAAAACCUAUGUGCUGGCCUGGUGUGAGUAAGCGCAGUGUGCUUAAGGUGACGUGUUUGUGUUUUUAAUCUGUGGGAAGGGGAUCAAACAAUUUUGUAUAAUUCUGUCAGUGGGAUUUGUUUGACUGGCAAACACUCAAACACUGCAUGUCAAUGAUUGUUUUCAUUUACUGAGAUUAUAUCUGAAGCAUAGUCUACAUAAAACAGAGAAUUUGUCACGUUAAAAGAUUAUCAACAGAUUUAACAUAUGAAGUAAAAUUAUUUUGAGCCAAAAUUGAGAGCUCAUUUCUAUGUCUGAGCUGGAAUAAUCAUUCAUCACAUUGUCAGCUGAUGAGAAAUAUACCUGGUGUAAAACACUGGUUAAAUUACAUUAAGCCAUAAAGGAAGGAUUCACACACAGCUCUCAAGUUAAGAUGGAUGUCUAUGACAAAUCUGACAAGAUUUAAUCUUCAGUUGAAAUUUAAUUUUGAUGGGUGUUUUUCCUGCGCAGUUCCAGAAUCACAAACACAUCUGAAGAGUUUUCACUCUCGAGUUUGUCAGUGAAUCGUGGAGUAGUACAAAUGAUCGUGUGCUCUAUCAAAUAAAACCUUUAUAUCUUAUGUUAAAAUAGGCCUGCUUUUAAUUAGAUUACUUCCAACCAAUAGCCUAUAUAACUUAAUCGGAAUUUGAAUAUUAUAUUUAAAAUACGUUUCUGUACAUUUUUACAUAUAAUUCCACGUCUGUUGCUUCAUUCAGUUUUUGUGGAGCGUACAGAAGACGGGCAGAUCAUUUUUAGAGCUUAAAGAGAUUAAAAAGUUUACGUUCUCAAUAUCAUCUUAUCAAAACAUGUUGCAGGCAGUGGUGAAAUGCAUACGUUGAAUAAGUUUGGGCACAAACUUUGGUUACAUGAACUAUUUCACCACCGAUAAUGCUGAGAAUGUUCUACCUGAUUUUACGCGAAAAAACAAAAGAUGUGGAAACUAUUCUCCAUUUUAUUGCAUAAUGAAACUCCUUCCCACCAGUUUAUAUCAUUUAUUAUGGCGUAAUUGACUUGCAUCAAUUAAAUUAACAAAAAAGGGGGAAAGAAACAAACUGACGAUAUCAACAGAACAAAAUUCAUUUAUUUUAUUUCAUUACAAAACUUUACAACUAUCCAUCGUAUAUGCUAUUCAACAAACAUUUACUGUAAGCAAUAACCAAUCUCUGUAUUAGAUUUCCAGUAAUUUAAAUCAUAGCGUUCAUAUCAGGAUAAGCCUGUGGAGAAAGAAGAGACUCGUUAGUCGUCGGAUGUCGAGUUAAUAUUGUAGGAGAGACUGCACUGCUGUAACACGGGGUAAGUUGUAAGUUUGCAAUUAGAAAUCAGCUACAGGGGUGAAAUCUGCAUCAUAUACAUGAGCACCACUCCACUGAGUUAGAGGUACAAAUCGUAAGACUCUCUGUAAAAAUAUAGAAGAUUUACAAGGCAAAAAAAUUCGAGAUGUCUCCCCGUCUCUUUUAAUUUAGUGUGAUGAAUGAUUUUACAUUACAUAUGGGUUAAUAUCAUCUGAUUCAGCAGGUUCUCUUGUUCAAUUUGAAAUACACACACGCUUUUAAUUCAAAUUUUAUAUCUGACCAGACAGGAAGGGUUGUAACACUUUCCAAUGCAGAAAUAUUGAGGGCAACAACAGUGCAAACUCAACACACAUGUCUGUUUUUACAGUGUGUUUGUUCCCAAAUGUAUUUGCUGUUUUGCUUUAAAUUGUUCUAUAUUUGUUAAAUUAAAAUGUUUAAAAUGUCCAUGUUUUCUAUUAAUGUUUUAACUCACCACAGCAGUUGUUACAGUAGCGCUCUUUGCACUUGACAUUCAAUUUCACAGUUUAGGUUGUAGAUUUUAAAACAACUGUUUUUUUUUAUUAUCAUUAUUGGAUUCUGAAUAUGUUUAUGUGCAGAUAAACUGUAUCGAUGUUAUGUUGGAGCCAGCAAAAAAAAAAAAAAAACCCUUUGCGUAUAGCUAUCGAAAUGGGGGAAGUGCAUAGAUUGUUUCUAUAGUUACACAUUUUAUAACCUAGCCCUAAAACCCACACUCCAAACAUGACAAAACCAUCUGCAUUUUUACAAAUAUGGUUAAGUAGCCUAGGUACACACACUCCAUGUUCUCCCCUCAUCUUUACAACAGCUUUUCUAGCUGACCUCUGAGGUUUAAGCAAUAGAAUAGGGUAUGACUGUUCAUGGUUGACCAAGGGGUCAGACCACUCUUAACUGACCAGACACGUGCUCUUUGCUCUAAACAAGCCUCUUAAAGAAAAAGAAUAGGUCUUAAACAAAUGAUGAGCCCGUGGGGGAGGGGAAGUUUGUUAUUCUGCGAAAAGAACAACAUUCUUCAUGCGCAAGCAACAUACAUAUUAGUCUUGAUGUAUUGUUAAAAUAGUCUAAAUGAAAAAAAGUGAAGUCACAAACAUCUAGAGCACAGUGAAAUACAUUUUAAUGUGCUAUCAUAGCUAGGCCUUUGUCAAAAUGUAGGCUUACUAUUAAUAUAAUUUCUAAAACGUAUUUAGCCAUUUUACAUAAAUAUUAACCAAUCUGCGAUCCAGAAGUCAAAGGAGACUUAAUUGAUGCCCUUCAGCGUCAUAUUUGAAGUUGAUGUCAACGCAAGUCUCUCGAGCACCAGUCACAGCUGACACAAGGGUCAGAGGUGAUGUGCUGGGUUCAAGUGGUUUGUCCAGUUAUUCCCAAAGGGCCAAUCGAAUGAUCUAAGAUGAAAGAGAUGACAAGAUUUUGCUCUGUGUCCCACUAUUAAUUCUUCUGACUUCAUUUUACUUAAAAAGAUUGUAGGCCUAUUUGAAAGCAUCUAGACAUAAAUGAGGCUUAGGCCUUAUUUCUGUUUAGGCUUUAAUGACAAACGCAUUUCUUUUAUUUACUUAAUGUUUGGAUAAAAAUAACUAUUUGGUUAAAAUAAAACAGGGUAAAUGCAUCUCAGUUUAAGCUUGGAUAACAAAAUGUAAGCGUCGACUAAUUAAAAACAUUUCAUAACAUCAAAGGACACCGUUGUUUGUAUUCUGAUCUAUCUACAUUUUUAUUCUGCUGAAUUCAGAAUUCCGAUGUAGGCUACAUUCUUCAUGUUUUGUUAUUAAACGGGACGCAUUAGAACGCUAAAAACGCCGGAAAUGACCCACCAAAGUGCGCGCGCUAACUGCAGGUGUUAAGUCACGUGGCGCUGUAUGAUCGUUUGUGUUUAUUCAUUUAUUCUGCUCGGAUUUUCUGCUUGUCAUAAGCAGAUAAAUAGCAACCACUGUACAGCGAGGCAUAAAGGUCUCACCUAUUUAGAAACACUGAGAAAUUAAUCGUGAGGCGUGACGUAGGGGAGAGAAAACAUUAUUUUUUCGUUAUAUGGUUAAAGUAAACAAAGAAACUAACAUUAGGGGAGAGUUUUUAAGUUUAACCGAUUAGAAAUCAGCUAGGCUACAUGACUAAAAUAAUGAGCAGCACCCUUCUGAGCUAGAUGUUAGCUGUUAGUGUAAAACAAAAGAUUUAUAAGAGAGAGAAAAUAAACUACAAAUUCACGUCUGGAUUAUAGUUUAUGCAUUUGUGGUCACGUCGUUUUUAAAUGACAGAAAUAUAAUCUGAAACAGUAGCCUAGUUUUUGUUUAAUUUUGAUAUAGGUUAUAACACACAAUCGCAGUUGUGACGCAUUCACAACACACAACCUGUCUGAUCCAUAUUUUUUAUAUGUAGCUAUUUACGUUGUUUUUUUCUGUUUGUUUCUCAUUUUAUUUUCUGCUUUAAAUGUAAAUGUUUCUUGUAUAUUUAAAAUAUAAAAGAGAGUGCGAAAUAGAGAGAGAGGGAAUAUGGGUGGUGAUACAUUUUUUUUUUUUUAAUUUCCACAUAAAUUUAUGUUUAAACAGUUCAUGUUUUCUAUUGGAUUAAACAUGAAAUUAAAUUAACUGAUUUUAAACAAAUAAUGGAAUUUUAUUUCAAAGUUUGAGACACAUGUAGCACAAAAAACACAGAGCUAUACAGGCGUAGAAAAUGUGUUGCAACACGCCUCGGUCUCCUCUAACAUACGGUCCCCAAAAUACUGAAAUAUCCACGGAGAAAAAAAAAAAAAGCUCAGCACCGAAAGUCUUUCAUUAAGAGCCAGACGAGCAGCAAUUAGCGACAGAGCAGCUCAGCAAAGCCAAGAGCGCCGGGAUUAUUGUCCAAUCAUUUAUAUCUUCCAAACCAGUAAGCAUUAGAGUUUGUAAUGUAAGUUAGCAUAAGAAUAGGAACAGGUCCUGUGAACUUCCCCGACCUUCUGACCCUCUUUUACCGAGAUGAAUAGCACCACUUUCAGACACCCCAGCCUCUUCAACAGGCUUGAACCAUGCCUAAAUUCCCAAUCAUGGUAAUUUAAUAUAUCUUAAGCCCCCCCGGCUGCAUGAUUCCAGUUUUUCUAUAGUUUAAUGUAGGCAUCUGUGUCGAUUCACUCCUUACUCGGGCUGCUACGGGACUAGUUUUCUCUUAUAACCUAUAAAAGCCAAGAUGAAUGGCGUUCCCAUCUUUUCAGUGUCAUUUUGAUAAAAAGACAGUACAAUUAGUCUACAAUCAGCUCCACAACAAUAACACUGUUAGGAUGCAUCCGAAAUCGUGCACGACUGAUGUAUACACACACUUGCUUUCAUAAAAGCAAACUCUUUAUUUAUUUGUUUCUUGGGAGGUUUGCAGUUUAUUGAAAUAACUAAAUAGCAAGUGGAAGCUCAUGACUGAUUCUAAACAUUGCUCAGUGACUGGCAGGUUUGAGGCGCGUGCGCGAGUCUAACAAAUGCCCCUGCCUCUUUGAUGAAUGGCGAAUAUCUAAUGAGGCAGAUGGGCACCUACUGUACUUUUCAUUGUUUGCAGAUAAUGCAUCGAUUAAUAAGCCCUGGCACAUUUGAUUUAAAUGUUACAUAAAUGUUUAUUAAUGGAUUUCCAAUAAUAAUGAGACACUGAGGAUGCGAGAGCCCAUUUUUUGCCCGUCAAGCACGCCCCACGCGAACUGCCUAUUCACGCAUCUGAAGAACUAAAGGAAAAAGGCGACAUCUUUUGGCUGGAAUACCAACAAUAGAAGACACAAACCCGCCGCAUCCCUUGAACAAGGCAUUGAACAAGCACUUGAAUCCUGAAAUAGAUGCUUGCGAUUAUGCAGAACUAACAGGCACGGCUCACAUGAAAAUAAAUCCUAAAUGAUCAAUAAAGUAUCAAUAGCCUACCCCACAAUGAUCUACGCCUCCAUCUAGGGGAUGUGCGUUGGUGCAAGCUGCUGAGUGGAUAUUAAACUGUAUGAACAUCAAG